GAUGAACGCUAGCGGCAGGCUUAAUACAUGCAAGUCGAGGGACAGCACAGGUAGCAAUACUGGGUGGUAACCGGCAAACGGGUGCGGAACACGUACACAACCUUCCUUUAAGUGGGGGAUAGCCCAGAGAAAUUUGGAUUAAUACCCCGUAAUAUAGUUGAAUGGCAUCAUUUGAUUAUUAUAGCUACGGCGCUUAAUGAUGGGUGUGCGGCUGAUUAGAUAGUUGGCGGGGUAACGGCCCACCAAGUCUACGAUCAGUAGCUGAUGUGAGAGCAUGAUCAGCCACACGGGCACUGGGACACGGGCCCGACUCCUACGGGAGGCAGCAGGAAGGAAUAUUGGUCAAUGGACGCAAGUCUGAACCAGCCAUGCCGCGUGAAGGAUUAAGGUUCUCUGGAUUGUAAACUUCUUUUAUUUGGGACGAAAAAGGGCCUUUCUAGGUCAACUGACGGUACCAGAUGAAUAAGCACCGGCUAACUCCGUGCCAGCAGCCGCCGUAACAC
rnacentral:rRNA from 1 species